rnacentral:rRNA from 1 species
GUGCCAGCAGCCGCGGUAAUACAGGGGGUGCAAACGUUGCUCGGAAUUAUUGGGCGUAAAGCGCGCGUAGGCGGCUACCUAAGUCGGAUGUGAAAGCCCCUGGCUUAACUGGGGAAGUGCACCCGAAACUGAGUAGCUAGAGUACGAAAGAGGGUCGCGGAAUUCCCGGUGUAGAGGUGAAAUUCGUAGAUAUCGGGAGGAACACCGGUGGCGAAGGCGGCGACCUGGGUCGAUACUGACGCUGAGGCGCGAAAGCGUGGGGAGCAAACAGGAUUAGAUACCCUGGUAGUCC